rnacentral:rRNA from 1 species
CCUACGGGCGGCAGCAGUGGGGAAUAUUGGACAAUGGGCGAAAGCCUGAUCCAGCCAUGCCGCGUGUGUGAAGAAGGCCUUCGGGUUGUAAAGCACUUUCAGUGGGGAAGAAAGCCUUGGGGCUAAUACCCUCGAGGAAGGACAUCACCCACAGAAGAAGCACCGGCUAACUCCGUGCCAGCAGCCGCGGUAAUACGGAGGGUGCGAGCGUUAAUCGGAAUUACUGGGCGUAAAGCGCGCGUAGGCGGUCUGAUAAGCCGGUUGUGAAAGCCCCGGGCUCAACCUGGGAACGGCCUCCGGAACUGUCAGGCUAGAGUGCAGGAGAGGAAGGUAGAAUUCCCGGUGUAGCGGUGAAAUGCGUAGAGAUCGGGAGGAAUACCAGUGGCGAAGGCGGCCUUCUGGACUGACACUGACGCUGAGGUGCGAAAGCGUGGGUAGCAAACAGGAUUAGAUACCCGGGUAGUC